GAUGAACGCUAGCUACAGGCUUAACACAUGCAAGUCGAGGGGCAGCAUAACGAAAGCUUGCUUUUGUUGAUGGCGACCGGCGCACGGGUGAGUAACGCGUAUCCAACCUUCCCUAUAGUAGAGGAUAGCCCGGCGAAAGUCGGAUUAAUACUCUAUGUUAUUCAACGAGGACAUCUGAAAUGAAUCAAAGGUUUACCGCUAUAGGACGGGGACGCGUCUGAUUAGGUUGUUGUUGGGGUAACGGCCCACCAGGCGCACGAUCAGUAGGGGUUCUGAGAGGAAGGUCCCCCACAUUGGAACUGAGACACGGUCCAUACUCCUACGGGAGGCAGCAGUGAGGAAUAUUGGUCAAUGGACGUAAGUCUGAACCAGCCAAGUAGCGUGCAGGAUGACGGCCCUAUGGGUUGUAAACUGCUUUUAUACAGGGAUAAAGUGAGCCACGUGUGGCUUUUUGUAGGUACUGUAUGAAUAAGGACCGGCUAAUUUCCGUGCCAGCAGCCCGCGGUAAUACGGAAGGUCCGGGCGUUAUCCGGGAUUUAUUGGGUUUAAGGGAGCGCAGCGGUAGCUAGCCGUGACGUGAAAUGUAGCCGCUCACGGCCUGAACUGCUCCCGACUGGUUUCUUGGAAGUGGUACGACUCACACGGAAUUCUCUGCGGUGUAACACGGCGGUG
rnacentral:rRNA from 1 species